rnacentral:lncRNA from 1 species
UUUAAAGCAGUUUUACUCUCAUUUAUUUAGUCCUCACCAUACAGACAGCUGACAGUGAGGAAUUCACACUGAUGUGGGAGGUGUCACUGAGGAGAUGAAAUUUGAGUUGCUCCUUAAAGAAUGAGUAAGAUUUGCUAGGUGAAGAUUGGUGAAAUGGCUUUGCAGACAGAAUAGCGACAGCGAAACAACAGGCGAAGUGUGAGAUGUGUCAUGGGAACACUAGUUACUCAGAUGUGUGAGUAUGUGUGUGUGUGGGUAGGUUUGUGUCAUGGGGUCCAUAUGAGGGGGUGUGGAAGGAGCUAAGUCAGUGCAAACUUUUAGCUCUGCAAGUUACAAAAUGUAAGAGGCUAAAAAAUGACUUGAAAUCUGAAAAUCGCAAUUCCUAAAGUAAAGGUAGAUCGUUUCUGUCAUUUAAAAUGUGUGGCAGGAAGAAAAGCAGCAUUUAUUGAGCUCCUGCUAUAUGACUUUAUAUCUAUUGUUGCAUUUAACCCUUAGAUCAGCUCUUUAAGAGGCUGAUUACUCUCAAUUUACAUGUGAGGAAAUGCAAGCUACAGAAAUUACCCUAGAAAGAUGAAGCCCAGCAGCAGGAUUCAAUCCAGGUUCAUCCAACUCCCCAGAUGGUAUUCUUUCCAUCACACCAUGCGGUCUCUCUGAAAUACCUAAGUGAUUCUCCUAUUACAACAAACAGUGGGACACCUCCCCACACAGACCGCUCUCACCACCACCACCAAAUAGCUCAGCAUAUUUGGAGAUAAAAACAAAGGAAGAGAAAUGAAAUACGCAUGUGAAAACUUUAUAGAUUAUUCUGCCCUAUUCGGCAGCCAUUAUGGGAUUGUUACUUGAUAUGAAUGUAGAGAUUUGCUACUUUGAAAGCCUUAAAGUUUCGCUAUUGUGGCCCACAGCUCUCUGGAUAUGGCAGUAUUUCUUGAACUAGCAAAAAAAGCUUAUUUUCUUCAGUAUGUGAAUCCACAUAAAGGUAUUUAUCCUAAACAGCUACUUCCUCCUUUACCAUGGACUGAUUUGGGAUUCAGCUUUGUUGCGAUGCCACAGGUGUUUUAGAUUUUGAUGGCCGCUUCCAAGUGUGGGUCUGAUGAGCUCUCCGCAUGCGCUGCCUGCCUGGGUGAGCGCUGGCCAGGCUGAGUAGGCUCAUUCAUCCAGGAGAUGGCCCUGCAGCUGAAAAGAGGAAGGUGUUAGAAGAGGUCAUCGAGAGGACGUGAGUGCUGGUUGACUCGAGAACUGGACCAGGGCAUUUGGAGGCUCUUCACCUUCUCCCCUGUCCUUGGAAUGUAUGUUCUGUCCACGGUUCCUACAGUAGGAGCUAUUUUCAAGGACACAGCCUUGAGAGAGCAGUGUGUUGUUGAGACCAUCUUGAUUGAAAAUGUGACCAAAACCGGUUAAGGCCUCUGUAUAAAAUUGUAAGAUUUGGCAGGAUUGUGGGAGCUGCCUAAUUGGAAAUCUGUAAGAAGGGUCAACAGGCUGGAAAUUCAGCUAAGAGUUGAUGGUGUGGUAUUGAUCUGAAAUCUGCAGGGCAGGCCAUCAGAAAUUGUGACAAGUUAUGCAUUUCAAAUAUCUGUGAUAAGACUGAGGAUUGACUCCACUUAAUUUGGAUCCUGAGUGUUACAAGAGGUGGACAGUAGCGACGCUUUGAGUUGACACUCAUCUCCCUGGCACUAACUCUACUUAGACACAUGGAUGGCUUCUUACUGAAAAUGUCUGUCAGCUCUUUGCCUGAGUAAUUCCGCUGGCUGUAAGAAAGUGCUUGACUUGUGUGUGGAACAGACUGAAAAUGAUUGAAAGUUAACAUCCCAGGAGCGGUCUUCAACCAGUUAUGGAUGGGCGUUGGCAGAGAAACUCCAUAGUUUCUUCACCCCUCAGGUAGGACAACUCCGAGAAGUGUUCCACGUAGUCUCCCAGUGGACCCUAAAAGAGGGAGCCCCAAUUCCUCACACUCGUAAACGGUUUAUUAAUGUAGACUAUGUUGGCUUUGUUCCCUUCCCUGUCUUACUUCCUCACUCCCUAUCCCUGCUUCUUGGAAUCAUUUCCCUAGUAAAUUAAUUUCAUGCAAAUUUUUGUCUCAAGGAAUACAACCUAAGACAAGUGGUAAAACAGGUCAGAGUUCUGACCUUCUACCACUUAUAGUCUAGUAGAGGAGAAGGGCAUGAAUCAAAUAAUUUCGUAGUAAUUGUAAAUUUGCAAUGUGACACUACUGAAAAGAAGACACAUUGAGGCAAUCUGAUUGUGUGUGUGUGUAUUGGGGUUAGGAAACAUUUUUCCCAAGGAAGGGAUGUUUGAGCUGAAAAGUGAAAAAUGAAAAGAGGUGGAGAUAGAGUUCUGUAUGAAAGAAUAACAUAUGCAAAGGGCCUGUGGCAGGAAGAGCAUGGUAUGUAGAGAGACUAAAGAAAGGCAGUGUGGCUGAAGCAGAGGAUGAUGGGGAGCUCAGUGGAAAAUGAGACCAGGAAGGUAGGUAGAAGCCAGAUGGUGUAGGGCUUUCUAGUGUCUUAUUUAUGUGAAGAGCUAUGAGGAGCCAUUGGGAGGGUAUAAUCAGUGGGAUCAUAUCAUCAGAUUUACAUUUCACAAAGAUCAUUUUGUCUGAUGUAUACAAAAGACAUAGGGAGUCAGUGGAAGGAUAUUUGGGUUUAGUCGAUACAGGAAUCUAGGUGAAAGGCUUUUUCUACUAUCAUUACGAGGAAUUGAUUGGAUCCCAGGGUUCAAACCAUGGCUCUGUAAUUUACUCAGUGAAUGAUCUUGGGCCAGCUACUUAACCUUCCAUGCUGAAAUUUCCUCAUACGUAAAAUAACUGUAACUAGAUGUUAUAAUCAUGAUUAGGAUACUGCCUGACACGUCGUAAACACAAUCCAAGUGUUGGGUACAAUUAACAUCAUUAUUAUUAUCUUCCAACAUGUAAUAGGUAACUGGUGAAUUUUUAAGCUGGGUUACUCUCCAGGGGCUUUCGUCUUGUUUGGUAUAUACAGUUGCUGCUUUAACAGCUAGUAUAGAGGAGGGCAGGGUGGCAGCAGGUCUGCCAUGAAAUGCAUGCCUUAGUGCUUAGCAGCUGAAUAACCUGGAGCCAGUCGCUUCCCUCCUGUUUCCUCCUCUCUGUUACGGGGAGGGGUCUAGGAUUAGUACCUAACUUCACUGCUUCACUGGGUUAUUGUAGGAAGAAACGGACUGCUCUCCAUCAAACGCAGGUCGAUCCAUGGCACAGUAUGCUUGCUAUCACUUGUAACUAUUCUGAUAAGCACUGAUAAUUGUCUCUUCCAGUCAUCAUUCUCAUCAGUUUAUUCCUCCUCCAUCGUGAUCUUGUUAUAACAAUUAAAUAAGGAGCUAAGAUAACACUGUUUUACCUUUGGAAAAGUCCUUAGAGUAGAAAACCCUGCAAAAGUGUAGCUAUUUUUACUACUUUGCUGCAAAUUUUACAUUUUAUACUCCUUUAAUGUCUUUAGAUUGUGAGCAUCACAUUGCCACUGCUAUAUUAUUAUUGCAGUAAAGUCCUCAUGAAAAUGACUCUUCCUCUGUAUUUCCGUGAGUAAAAUCAUCACUCUGAAGUGAAUGGUGUUGUCAAUUCCUAAGAACCUCCCAGAUAUUCUAUGCUUUUCUCUUUGGCUUCAGUGAUUUCAUUGUAAUUGUUAGCAAAAUACCACAUAUUUUGCUCGUAAGCAUGAAAACUUGAGUUCUUAUACAAUUAUCUUUCAAGGCCAGAUCCUAAUGUUUCAUGAGGUAGAAGAGAAACAUAUUUUUACUUGCAGCCUGUGUAUAAAAAAAAGAAUUAUGAGUACUCCUAUAAAAUUUUUAUUGAAGCCCAUUAAAUUUUUUGCAAGCAUUGUCUAUUUAUUGAGAGUGGCCUUUUUUUCUUUAAACUCUGGCAUGAUAUUGAGAUAUUGAGAAACAAUCUCCUCUCUUGGAGAGAAUUAGGUCAGCUCUUACUGUUUUAUGCUUUUAGUGCAUUUCUCUGUGUAUGUGCUUAUACUUUCUACAUAGGCUUUUUAAGUUUCUUUGACUAAUGACUGAAUUAAAAUUUCUCACAUUUAGAUAUGUGAAAUAUGAAAUUGAAGAUUGCUUCCUGUUUGUCUUUGCUUUACUAAACCACUGGGCAUAAUAUACAGUAGUUAUAAGAUUAUAAAAUUUAAUCUGACUAAUAAUAUGCAUUAUUAAUAUAUUUUAACAUAUUUUUAUGUUACAAAAAUAUUCCUGAAGUAUUUUGAUUAAGAAAUUUUCUUAUUAUUUUUAACUUAACUUUCCAGCUUCAAAAGGAGAUUUCUAAAAUCAGUUGAUUCUGCUUUUGAUGUUUUGAUAGUUUCUGCAGUCUCUUUUGGUCGUAUUAUCUAUCUAUGACACUUUAAUGAAAAUACUUUGAAAAUAGCAGAGUUGAUUUCUUUUAUAGUAACAGAUGUGCAUAAUGCUUACUUUAAUGUUCUUGCCUCGUAUCUGACAUGUUGCUCCAAAUCUUCAAUGGCUUGAUUAUUGUAAAACAUAUAGUAACAACUCUUGGAAACACCUAAAAACUUCUUGGGCAUUACAUUUUAUCUUGAGGGGGCAGGGGCCAUGGCCAUCAGUCUUGCUGUGGGUCCUGUCACAGAUUCUACCCUGAGGCACUGACAAGAGCUGAAACAGUCCUUUCUACUGUGAAGUUUCUUUGGUCUGUCCAUUCAACAGACAUGGCUGAAUAUUAAAAGAAAAAUCUAUGGGACCUUUAAAUAACCUUUAAGCUUCAAUAUGUGUAAUUCAUUGGGUGUUCAUUUCAGUAUCAAUUUCUGUGAAAAGACAUUUCAAAGAUGAAACAUGUAAAAUUCCGUUUCAGCUCAACUUUAACAAAUGAACAUUUGCAUUCAGUUUUGAUGAUAGAGAACACUAACUUGAAUCCCAGUCAAGAAAAUAUUAUCCCUUCCCAAAUAAUUACUUUAUUUUCAUUAGUAUACCUGUAUUAUAAGAAAAUUAUGUUCAAUUAUUAUGUUUUGAAUUCCGUAAGUAAAAAUUUUGGGAAAAUUUGUCUUCUCUCUUGCUAUAAAAGUGCCUACAUAAUGUCCUUGAUUUCGC